rnacentral:rRNA from 1 species
GUUUUAACUCGCGUGACGAGCGGUGUGUUUAAGGCAA